UGGGGUAUAUUGGACAAUGGGCGCAAGCCUGAUCCAGCCAUGCCGCGUGAGUGAUGAAGGCCCUAGGGUUGUAAAGCUCUUUCACCGGUGAAGAUAAUGACGGUAACCGGAGAAGAAGCCCCGGCUAACUUCGUGCCAGCAGCCGCGGUAAUACGAAGGGGGCUAGCGUUGUUCGGAUUUACUGGGCGUAAAGCGCACGUAGGCGGACUUUUAAGUCAGGGGUGAAAUCCCGGGGCUCAACCCCGGAACUGCCUUUGAUACUGGAAGUCUUGAGUAUGGUAGAGGUGAGUGGAAUUCCGAGUGUAGAGGUGAAAUUCGUAGAUAUUCGGAGGAACACCAGUGGCGAAGGCGGCUCACUGGACCAUUACUGACGCUGAGGUGCGAAAGCGUGGGGAGCAAACAGG
rnacentral:rRNA from 1 species